AUUGAACGCUGGCGGCAUGCCUUACACAUGCAAGUCGAACGGUAACAGGGAGCUUGCUCCGCUGACGAGUGGCGAACGGGUGAGUAAUGCGUCGGAACGUGCCGAGUAGUGGGGGAUAACGCAUCGAAAGGUGUGCUAAUACCGCAUACGAACUGAGGUUGAAAGUGGGGGACCUUCGGGCCUCACGCUAUUCGAGCGGCCGACGUCUGAUUAGCUAGUUGGUGAGGUAAAGGCUCACCAAGGCGACGAUCAGUAGCGGGUCUGAGAGGAUGGUCCGCCACACUGGGACUGAGACACGGCCCAGACUCCUACGGGAGGCAGCAGUGGGGAAUUUUGGACAAUGGGCGCAAGCCUGAUCCAGCCAUGCCGCGUGUCUGAAGAAGGCCUGCGGGUUGUAAAGGACUUUUGUCGGGGAGGAAAUCCCCAGCGUUAAUACCGCUGGGGGAUGACAGUACCUGAAGAAUAAGCACCGGCUAACUACGUGCCAGCCGCCGCUGUAAUAC
rnacentral:rRNA from 1 species